GCGCUGCUGACGAGUCCCAAACAGGAUGAAACACAGCUGUCCAGUGC
rnacentral:hammerhead_ribozyme from 1 species